CAGGCUCUCGGCUCGCCGCCAUCUUGCAGCUUCUCGCUUAACCCGCCCAUCGAGUCCCUCAGGGGUCCGACUGGCGCCUCGCGACGUCCUGAUUCGACCCAGUCUGGCCGCGCCUCUGUCCCCGGAUGACCGCGGAGGGGAAAGGCGGGAGCAGGCCCUCAAAGGCGCUUCCGGCCGCCUCCUCGGUCUUGUCCGUGUCUAGUUAGGAUCAGCCCGGCGCAGCCACCGGCCUCCCCAGCACGUUGGGCGCCCCGAAGCUGGGCUUCCGGAAGGGGCUGCGCCUGCGGGCCGAGCGGCCUCGGGAGCCGGCGUUCCGACCCGGCUGCAGCGAGAAGCCCACCUGGACCCCGGUGCUCUUCCUAGCUUGUUCUCUCGGAUCACACACACUUCCACCAGCUUUCCUGUUGUGAAGACACUCAGGAAAUCUAUAGAGACCUGAGGUCACCCAUCAACAGCCAGCAAGGCUGAGACUUGCCAAAGAUGACAGGAGUGAGCUUAGAAGAAUUCUCCAGCCCUAAGCAAGCAAUCACUGCAGCCCCGGAUCUACAGCCAGAGUACUACUCAGCCGCUCCCAGAUUCCUGAACCCGAAUGAAACUGCACUGUCCAACUUCAAGUGUCCUGGUUCCAGACCCAGAAUCCUCCAGCUAACUUCACUACCCCCUGGUGAAACUGGCCUCUUCACCUCAGCCUUCACUAUGCAGGAUUCACUGAAGUUGUUCUCAAACACCCAGGUCCAGCAGCACCCACCUCACCUAGGAAGUUGUUAAGAAUUAAGCUCUCAGACCCUCCCUCAGCCUCACUGAAUCAAAAACUUCACGUGUGGGUCAGAAAACCCUCCUAGUGACUGAUAGAUAUUAAAGACUGAGAACUCUGGCCUGAAGGCACUGCUGAUCACUAACAGUUCAUUCUUGACCAAAGAGAAACAAAGGCAUUUCUUGGCACUUACUUUCUGGGUCCUGAUUUUUCUUAUUUCAAGAGUGACCUUUCCCCACUGUAUUCCAUCAGUGAAUGCUAAUUAGAAGUAAAAUCAUUGCUUAAUAGUUUUUUUUAAAUUGUGCAUUCCCAAGUCACACUGUCAUAUUCUUUUUGUGUCUAUGUCCUUGGGAAUCUAGGGCAAUAGGCCUGCUCAGUGUGGUUCUUAUCCACAAAACUCGUUUUGUUAGAACUUUCUAGUUCCGAAAUUAGGCUGUCCUGCUCACUCAUUUCCCAGCUCAGUGUCCCACUAUGGAUAUUCCCCACUUCACACACGCUCAUGGACAGGACAGGUGGUCUGCCUUCUCUAGGCAAAACUGAAAUCAAGAGAAACAAGGGCCAGCUAUACAGGAGUGGUGCUGGAAGUUUGACUACUAGUGUAGUCCGAUUCCCGACGGCACUCAGGAAGGACGGACAGUGGAAACCAGAUGGCUGACUUCUGGGCUGGCCCUCUUUCCACCAACAGACCACCUCGUCGUCACACAGGCAGCUGUGGGAACAGUGAAGUCUAGCUGCAGAAACGGCCAGUAAGCUUAGCCCGUUAACAUUCCUAGCUCUCUGUGGUGCUGCCACCCAACCAAUCUCGGAACACAGUGGUCUUUGAAAAAUCUUUCCAGUGAAUCCUCCAAGGUUCUUACAAAGUUCCAGAACAGCUCAAAGAGCACCGUAAAUCAAGAACAGCUGACAGACUGGGUCUAUAUUUAAAGAUACAGGUGGGUAAAAAAGAAACCUGAGUUGUCAGCAGAAAAUGAGCCUCAAGACAGGACUCCUGCAAGGGACCAAGUUCUUCAGGUCAGAUGGAGGGCAGUGAAGCCAUGAGUGGAUGAGGGUACAAGUGUAAAGAAUGCCAACUCCCAGGACAUGCACCCAGACACGGGAAGGAUGACCAGAGCCUGCUUUGAGUAGUUUACCUCCUCUACACCUCCUGUAAUAGGAAAUUAGGCUAUUCUUGAGGUUCAAUCUUAAGUUGCUAUAGCCUAAAAUGAAUCUAGGGGCCAGCAGGUAGCCUGGUGGUUAAGGCGCUGGACUUCCAA